CGGACUUAACCGUAGGCAGCGCUCAGUUGUCAUGGUGAACGGAAAGCGAUUCACUACAACGGCUACAUCUGUGCGAAAAGCACUUUCCACAGAAAACCCGCCCCGCAGUGACGUCACACGUCUGUCAAAUGCAGUACGCAAGCAAGUACUUCCGGAAUAACGGCCGUUAACGGCGUUCCCGCAGGGGGCGGAUAAUGAGGGCUGCAUCCAGGAACGAGAAAAAUAGAUAAAAUAAUAAGUCAGGGGUGUGGUGGAUCAGGAGCCUAUCCUGGGAACACAGGGCGCGAGGUGGGAAUACACCCUGGAAGGGAUUCCUGUCCAUUGCAGGGCACACGUACAUUCACACUUAGAGGCAAUUUAGCACAGCCAGUCCACCUUACUGACAUGUUUUUGGAAGGUGAGAGGAAACCGAAGAAUGGGGUGGGGGAUGGAGGACACGUGAGACUCCAUACAGACAGUAACCCAGCUCGGGAUCGACUGGGAUCAACUGGGAUCAACUGGAACCUUGAGGCAGAAAGACUACUCGCUACACCACGAUGCUGGCUUCUUUUCACAUGUAAUGCAUAUGCUUUUAUUCUUUCCACGUGACUCAUUUAUUUUCACAUGUGAAUUUUUCCCAUUUCACAUUUAUUCACAUAUUAUUCACAUGAUGUGUGUGUUUACUUGAAUUCACAAGUGCAGUUUCACGGGAAAGGGUGGCACGGUGGGUAGCACUGCCCCCUCACCGCUCCUGGGUCGCUUGUUCGAUCCUUAGCUCAGUGAGGGUUCACAUGUUCUCCCUAUGUUUGUGUGGGUUUCCUCCGGGUUCUCCAGCUUCCUCCCACUUUCCAAAAACAUGCUAAAUUGCUCCUUGGGUUUUAAAGGACCGAUUUUAAAUGCCCAGUCCUACUUUUCUAUUUUAUUAUGUUAGACACUUGAAGUGAUUUUGGAUUAUAUGCUAACUGUCAAAUUUUACUGUUAAAAUGCAAUAUACACAUAUGUAAUCUUAGGGAUUUUUGCUGAUUCUGAGAUAUGUAUGUGUAUAUAUAAAAUUGGGGAUGUGGCUGUGUAAAUAUAAAAUUAUAACAAUUCAAAAAUGACAUAAAAGAUAUAAUAAGAAUUUUAUAUUAUACCUAUAUUUGUAUAAUUGAAAUGUUUAUAUGUUAGAUAUGAGCACAGGUAAAAAGGCCCUCAGGGUAAAAAUGCCCCAGUGUUUAAGUCAGGUUUUGGAUGAAUGCAGAUGCAGGUGGUUGAUGGGUAAUACCACUGUGUUUCAUUCCGAAGUGAUCAUGACUACACUCUCCAAACUGUGAAGUCUGAA